rnacentral:tRNA from 5 species
GCAGAUGUGGUGUAGUCGGUCAGCAUCAGGAUUUGGUAUGUCCUGGACGCGAGUUCAAGCCUCGCCAUCUGCU